CGGAAGUGUGGGAGGGUCUGCGGGGCGGGCUCGGGGAGGUCCGGGAGGAGGAUGGAGCUGUGAGUGGAUCUGGGCGGCUGCCGGUAGCGCCAUGGAGACCGUGCAGCUGAGGAACCCGCCGCGCCGGCAGCUAAAAAAAUUGGAUGAAGACAGUUUAACCAAACAACCAGAAGAAGUGUUUGAUGUCUUAGAGAAACUUGGAGAAGGGUCUUAUGGCAGCGUAUACAAAGCUAUUCACAAAGAAACGGGUCAGAUUGUUGCUAUUAAGCAAGUUCCUGUGGAAUCAGACCUGCAGGAGAUAAUCAAAGAAAUCUCUAUAAUGCAGCAGUGUGACAGCCCUCAUGUAGUCAAAUAUUAUGGCAGUUAUUUUAAGAAUACAGACUUAUGGAUCGUUAUGGAAUACUGUGGGGCUGGUUCCGUGUCUGAUAUCAUUCGAUUACGAAAUAAAACGUUAACAGAAGAUGAAAUAGCUACAAUAUUACAAUCAACUCUUAAAGGCCUGGAGUAUCUUCAUUUUAUGAGAAAAAUACACCGUGAUAUCAAGGCAGGAAAUAUUUUGCUAAAUACAGAAGGACAUGCAAAGCUUGCAGAUUUUGGGGUAGCAGGUCAGCUUACAGAUACCAUGGCCAAGCGGAAUACAGUGAUAGGAACACCAUUUUGGAUGGCUCCAGAAGUGAUUCAGGAAAUUGGAUAUAACUGUGUGGCAGACAUCUGGUCCCUGGGAAUAACUGCCAUAGAAAUGGCCGAAGGAAAGCCUCCAUAUGCUGAUAUCCAUCCGAUGAGGGCAAUCUUCAUGAUUCCUACAAACCCUCCUCCCACAUUCCGAAAGCCAGAGCUAUGGUCUGAUAACUUCAUGGAUUUUGUUAAGCAGUGUCUUGUAAAGAGCCCUGAGCAGAGAGCCACAGCUACUCAGCUUCUACAGCACCCAUUUGUCAAGAGUGCCAAAGGAGUGUCAGUGCUGCGAGACUUAAUUAAUGAAGCCAUGGAUGUGAAACUGAAACGCCAGGAAGCCCAGCAGCGGGAAGUAGACCAGGAUGAUGAAGAAAACUCAGAGGAGGAUGAAAUGGAUUCUGGCACGAUGGUUCGAGCAGUGGGUGAUGAGACAGGUACUGUCCGAGUAGCCAGCACCAUGAGUGAUGGAGCCAAUACUAUGAUUGAACACGAUGACACAUUGCCAUCACAGCUGGGCACCAUGGUGAUCAAUGCAGAGGAUGAAGAAGAGGAGGGGACUAUGAAAAGAAGGGAUGAGACCAUGCAACCUGCAAAGCCAUCUUUUCUUGAAUAUUUUGAACAAAAAGAAAAGGAAAACCAGAGCAACAGCUUUGGUAAGAGUGUACCUGGCCCACUGAAAAAUUCUUCAGAUUGGAAAGUACCACAGGAUGGAGACUAUGAGUUUAAAACUAAGCCAAGAACAGCAGUCUGAAAAAGACAUAUGUAUCCAAAAUUGCCAGGGAAACCUGCUGUGCAGAUAUGCUUUCUGAGAAACCACAUGCUUAAGAGUUGGACAGUGGAGGACCUUCAGAAGAGGCUCUUAGCCCUAGACCCCAUGAUGGAGCAGGAGAUUGAAGAGAUCCGGCAAAAGUACCAGUCCAAGCGGCAACCCAUCCUGGAUGCUAUUGAGGCUAAGAAGAGGCGGCAACAGAACUUCUAAACAAAGGCCAGGCCAAGAGGGCCCUGCCCCCACCCAGGCCUCUGGUGAAUUCUGGGUGGCUCACCUCACGUUUGUUAGCCAGCUCUUCUGCUUUGUCAUUUCUCCACAGCACCUUUGUGAACUCAGGAAUGUGCGCCAGUGGAAAGGGCUACCGUGGCAGCCAGCGUGCCAUCUUGAUGAUGUGUGUACAUUGGUCAGGUAUAUUGUCUCAAAGCAUUUCUAUUGGCGCUUUUAACUCAGAGGUUUAAACCCCAGGAUCAGAGACUUCUGGUUGAGUAAUAGCUGGGAAAGUUUUACAUUGUCCUUUUGUUUUUCUUCUCCCAAUAGCUUUCAAUUGUUCUUUCUGGAAGAGUUUUUAAAAAUAUAUAAAUAUGCAUAUAUAUAUAUAUAAAUUAUAAAUAGAUUUCCCACUUAGUGUGGUGACAUCUCUGUACAGGUA